UAACAAGGAUUCCCCUAGUAACUGCGAGUGAACCGGGAAAAGCUCAAAUUUAAAAUCUGGCAGCCUUGGCUGUCCGAGUUGUAAUCUGGAGAAGCGUCUUCCGCGCUGGACCGUGUACAAGUCUCCUGGAACGGAGCGUCAUAGAGGGUGAGAAUCCCGUCUUUGACACGGACUACCAGUGCUCUGUGAUGCGCUCUCAAAGAGUCGAGUUGUUUGGGAAUGCAGCUCAAAAUGGGUGGUAAACUCCAUCUAAAGCUAAAUAUUGGCGAGAGACCGAUAGCGAACAAGUACCGUGAGGGAAAGAUGAAAAGCACUUUGGAAAGAGAGUUAAACAGUACGUGAAAUUGCUGAAAGGGAAACGCUUGAAGUCAGUCGCGUUUGCUAGGACUCAGCCUUGCCUCGGCUUGGUGCAUUUCCUAGUAGACGGGCCAGCAUCACUUUUGACUGCGGGAGAAAGGUUGGAGGAAUGUGGCACCUUCGGGUGUGUUAUAGCCUCUAGCUGUAUGCCGUGGUUGGGAGUGAGGAACUCAGCACGCCGCAAGGCGGGGCUUCGGCCACCUUCGUGCUUAGGAUGCUGGCGUAAUGGCUUUAAACGACCCGUCUUGAAAACACGGA
rnacentral:rRNA from 1 species